UUUAAUAUAUUUAAAGUCAAGGUAGAUUUUUUGUGCCCUUUGAUUAAAAUAAUGUGUGCUCUCUGGUAUCGUUUGGUAUGCAGACGAGACGGGACGGGACGGAAUGGAAUGGGACGGGACGGGACGGAACGAAACGGAGCGGGAGCAAAAAUGCCCUUGGAUGGAAACAAGGAGGAAGAAGAAGGAGACGGAGAUGUUAUAAUUUUGGGUUCCACGGACGUGGAACGAGUCGUUCCAGGGGGGUGAGGUGGAACGAAAAUUCACCCAAAACUCAUCUUAUGGAACAGUUCGUUCCACCCAUUUUAGGCGCACCAAACGUGGGACGGAACGCUUUGUCCCACUCUGUUCCAUCCCGUCCCACGUACCAAACGGUACCCUCUCUCUCGCUCUAACAUGUCGGAUCUCUCUGCACUCUCACAUCUCCUCCUCUACAAUGUCAACAGCCUCGGACUCAACAUUCUCUCUAAUCCCUCAAAAUUCUCUGCACUCUGUGCUCUCCUCCUCCUCCUUGUCCUCCUCCUCCUCCUCAACCAUGUUCCUCCCUCUCAUAUACUUCCUCUUCCUCUUCACUUUCACGCAACACCGCCGCCGUCCACAGGUCACCAACGGCCGCCGAAUUAAACUCCCAGAAUCAUUUUCCGUCCUCUUUCCAAGCCCCAAGUUAGUUUCUACAGAUUCGUAACCGAAUUUCCUCAAUUUCAGAUCUAAGAAACGGUGAUCAUUGGUUUUCCGGCCAAUUUUUGGCCAAGCCUGUCAAAAUUGGACCUCGACCUAAGAGAUCAGUGAACAGCUUCUCGGUGUCCACAGAGUGCAAGCAAGGUGAACUUCGUCGGUUGGUUAUGGCAGUUUUUUGGUGCGUACCAUUUCGUUCCUGCCAUAUGGGUAACGUCAUUCCUUUCUUGAUUAGAAUUAUUGACUUCUAUUGGUAUUCAUGAGUGAUAGCAAUUCUUUGUUUGAGAUGGGUAAUCUUGGUUGAGAAAUUUGUUCUAAUCAGCUGUAAAAUAUGGUCGAAAGUUUGUUGUCCUUGGAAGUCCAUGGCUUGGAAUCGUCGGGGUUGUUCCCGGCAAUGAUAUUUUGUCAAGCUUAUCGAAUAAAUUAUCUUGAUGUUUUCUGUUGUAUCUCGAAUAAAUUUGUCAUUUGCUGUUGCAUCUCAUGGUCAGUGUGGGGGUUUCCUGUUAUUAAGGAACUCUAUUUCGGUUAAUUUUAAGAAUACUAAAAGUUCGGAUAUGUUUUCGGAUGAAAGGUGGCCUUUCUUUUUUUAUAUUGGAGGGGUGUUGCAUAAAAUUUGAUACCUGCACGGCUGCACACAAGUCAAUAACAUGAAACAUGGAGGGUGUGUAAAUCCAUCCGUCUCAGAGGUUUUGGGUUUCAUAUAUAUAGUCAAUUAUCGUACGUUCAAAGUUUGUUAUUGACCAAAAGAAAGAACUAAGUAAUUGAUUAUUAAUCAACUGAUGAUAAAGUAACCUAUUUUGUAAAAUGUUGGUAAUUCUAGUUUUGUAGACUGUAAGUUAUGGAGAUAUGUGACCUUUUCUGAAUUAAUUCGAGGGAUAUUACAAGCGUACACUGGUGUUGAAAAUUAAAUUGGAUUGCUCCGCUCUCUCAGUGCCUGGGUAUUAUAUAAAGCUUUGCGCUUUCAGAUUAAGAACUAAAGGGAAACUACGGCUGUAAUUCUCAAGGUUGAGGAGUAAAAGAUAAUGCUUGAGGAGUAAAAUAUAUUUUUAACAAGCCAGGGUCACUGCCGAGAAGAACUCCUCUGUCAUAGGAGACUGGCUACUAUUGUUAGCAGAGACAUUACUCAAAGUUUGAACUCAGAAUUUGAUACAUCAAAAACUGCUUGAAAAGGCGAAACAUCAAAAACAGCUACGGCCGGAUUCAUAGUAGGAUUGUUGCCCAAAAAUUCUAGCUGUAUGCUGGAAGUUCAUACUCUCUUUGCACUCAAGUUCAAUAUCCCUCCCCGUAAAUUUGAGUAAUUU